rnacentral:lncRNA from 1 species
UCCCAUGUUUCUUGUUUCUUUCUUCCUUCCUAGCCUCUGCCUAACUUCUCCUUCCUUUUCAGCCACAACAACCAAAGCCAUGAAUCUUCCAUCUUCUUCUCUACCUGUCCCUUCUAUCCAUUUUCCUGCUCACUCUUGCUUUAACUUGUUUAUCUACUCUACCCAAAUUCUCAUACACACUUAUUACAUGCGCACGUUUGCUUUUUUAGAGUUUAACUGGAUUUAUAAAAACAACACUUUUCAAUGAAUCAAGUAGGUUAUCUCUUAUCUCCCAACUUCCCUUUAAAGAGACACAUAAUAUUGCCAAGAUUUGCAGUGCGACCAACUUUUUUGCAUUUCAGGUAUGAUGGAUUUCAAUGGAUUCGUCAAUAUCUAUACUGUUAAUAAAUGGACGACUCAUCAAACAGGUCUGAACAUCUUUGCAUGAGUUGUUGGGCGAGGAAAAAAAAGAACUUUAGACACUGUUUACAGUCCACAAUAAGAAGCACAAGAGACACUGAUCAAAUGGUAAUUUUCACUGUUCCUAGAAUAACUUUCCCAAACAGAAAUAAAAGGGUACUCAAGAUUUGUUUACAGCUUGUCACCUCUAUUAUUGCUUUCCGUCAUCACAUGUUUCGGAAGCUCUGUCAAAUUAGCCUGACAUUUUAGCAAAUACUCUUUAAAAAGUUGGGAAUUUCCCAUCAGUAACCUUAUAUGUCUUUUUUUUCACAGAGAAUAAAGUGAGUUUGUUCUGGAUUGCUUUUGUUUAGUGUGUGCUACCAUUUAGUAAAGAUGAGAUGUAUACAAAUGCAUGAAACAGUAAUGCAGAACAGUGGCAACUUUUAAAGCAAAUAUUGAUUAUAGCAUAAAAACUGUAAUGAGUUUAUAACAACUGUUUUUAAGUAUGUGGCUAGAGAUUGGUCAUUUUAAAUAGUAGUCUCCAAGAAAUGUAAUGAGUUCAGAACAAAUGUAUGACCACAAUUACGAGACAAACAUAUAUAAAUGUGUGACUUCGGCUUGUAGUGAUUAUUCCUGCUUUUAUUUUUGGUGAGAUAGUCAUUCUGACACCACAACACAUGACCACAAUUGCGAGACAAAAAAAAAAAUUGUUUUCAUGAAUCUACACAUCAACCAACUCUAUUUAUGAUACAUUGGUUUUAUUAGGACAAAACUGUUAUUUCAUGAAUAAACUCUUUCUACUUUUUGUAUUGAAUUUGAACCAUCCAUUUGUUAACAUUGGGCCAUUGCCAGCUCUAUUCUGUGCUCUUUUGUGGAGGCAGCACAAUUUUGGUAGGCUGAAAAUUUCAUCACACAACGCCUCCUGUGGAAAAGAAUCAAAAGAUAAAGACAAAUCCGCUGGUGAGCAGUGCAACCGAUCAACUCACAAUUAUUAUUAUCAUUUCAAACAGAAACAUGAUACAAUAUAGCAGUACAGAUUUACUUUGGUCCACCAUAUUCUCUUACAAAUGAAGACUUCUAGACCACGUUUGUGUAGGUUUUAGCAUAGAUUAAUGACAGACUUAUCUUAAUAUCUCCCAACCUAUCGUUUUUUUAUAAGCCAGCAAACCCCUUUUUUUAUCUUACAAAGAAAAAGAAACAAGAUAAGGUUCUUCACUCAUUUGUUUUAAAAGGAGAAAUUGAUCAUGUCGGUGCUCAAGCUUUCCAUCAUGACAUUCUCCAUGAAUCCACACUUGUAAGGAGCUGUCUUCUUGAAGCUGUGGCCGCGUGGCUUGAGUGAGCAUGAAGAAAUAGGAAUGAUUGGGAUAUUCUGACAGUUGCAGAGCUCAAUCAUGUAGCCAUCAGGGUCAUGGAAGAACACUUGGUCCACCUUGGCUCCUCCUUCCUCCACCACAGCUGUCACAUACCUCAUCCCCCUCUCUUCUAACCUCUUCUUAACAAGUUCAACAUCAGUACACUGCCCAAAAUCAAAAACAUUCCAUGUCAACAUUUGAUUUCUUCUACUCAAACUAUAUAGCUGAUUAAGUUCUAUUACCAUGUAAGCAACCUUGUUUCAACAAAUUCUUACCACAAACUACAAAAAAUAGAGUAAAUAAUAUCUCUCCAUGGAUAGUGUAAAGUACUUUUACAUUAUCAUAUCAUGAACUGUCAUGUAUAGUAAGUUUCUCAGACAUGUAUAGUACCUAUCUCACAUUAUAUCAAUAAUGAAUAUUUAUCACUGGAACAACUUAAAAGUUACUAAAGAAAGUCAUAAAAGUCAUAGAGGACCUUUUCAUAAUAAAGUAAACUGAAGUAAAAAACUUCGCAGCUCAAGGUCUAACUAAGCAAUCUCCAAGAAAAAAAGGUUCUUAAAUAUUUUUCAGUAUUAAUAAAUAUCUGUUAAACUAAUUAUAAAAUAAUAUUUAGAAAAAUAAAAUUAGUUUAGUACUAAUAUAUCUUUAUUAAAUCAAUUCUUGAGAAAUGUCUCCUCUUCAAUUUAUUUGUUUUAGGUCUUCUAAACCCUUAAAGAUUGACUUAGAACUUGUUACCUGGAAUGAGAUAUGGUUGUCCUUGGGAUUGAUGGGCCUAAAUUCAUUGGCACAGGUAUCAAAUUCAUCAAGGUGAGGAUUCUCAAUCAAGUGUAUUCCAAUACCAUAAUUGUAAAACC